GACGAGUGGCGGACGGGUGAGUAAUGUCUGGGGAUCUGCCCGAUAGAGGGGGAUAACCACUGGAAACGGUGGCUAAUACCGCAAAACGUCGCAAGACCAAAGAGGGGGACCUUCGGGCCUCUCACUAUCGGAUGAACCCAGAUGGGAUUAGCUAGUAGGCGGGGUAACGGCCCACCUAGGCCACUAUCCCUAGCUGGUCUGAGAGGAUGACCACCCACACUGGAACUGAGACACGGUCCAGACUCCUACGGGAGGCAACUGUGGGGAAUAUUGCACAAUGGGCGCAAGCCUGAUGCAGCCAUGCCGCGUGUAUGAAGAAGGCCUUCGGGU
rnacentral:rRNA from 1 species